GUCUUGGUAGCUCAGACGUCAGAAUACACUGGGCUAGUGACCCAGUGGUCGUGGGUUCAAGUCCCACCCAAGACA